GACGAACGCUGGCGGCGUGCUUAACACAUGCAAGUCGAACGGUGAAGCGCCUUCCUUUUUGGUGGGUGUGGAUGAGUGGCGAACGGGUGAGUAACACGUGAGUAACCUGCCCCCUUCUUCUGGAUAACCGCAUGAAAGUGUGGCUAAUACGGGAUAUUCUGGGUCUGUCGCAUGAUGGGUCUGGGAAAGAUAUUGUUUCGGUGGGGGAUGGGCUCGCGGCCUAUCAGCUUGUUGGUGGGGUGAUGGCCUACCAAGGCGGUGACGGGUAGACGGCCUGAGAGGGUGGACGGUCACACUGGGACAGAGACACCGCCGAGACUCCGACGGGAGGCAGCAGUGGGGAAUAGGGAACAAUGGGCGAAAGCCUGAUGCAGCGACGCCGCGUGAGGGAUGGAGGCCUUCGGGUUGUGAACCUCUUUCGCCAGUGAAGCAGGCCUGCCUCGUAUGUGGGGGGGUUGACGGUAGCUGGAUAAGAAGCGCCGGCUAACUACGUG
rnacentral:rRNA from 1 species